rnacentral:rRNA from 6 species
CCAGGUCAGGCGGGGCCACCCGCUGAGCUUAA